rnacentral:misc_RNA from 1 species
GAUGAAGAACGUAGCGAAAUGCGAUACUUGGUGUGAAUUGCAGAAUCCCGUGAACCAUCGAGUCUUUGAACGCAAGUUGCGCCUCAAGCCAUUAGGUUGAGGGCACGUCUGCCUGGGCGUCACAUAUCGUUGCCUGAUGCCAGUUUCCUCGUGAUGGGUGACUGUGCAGGGCGAAUGAUGGCUUCCCGUGAGCAUUGUUGCCUCAUGAUUGGUUGAAAAUUGAGUCCUUGGUAGGGAGCGCCGUGAUAGAUGGUGGUUGAGUGACGAACGAGACCCAAUCAUGUGAGACCCCUACCGAAUUUGGCCUUCAUGACCCACAUGCGUCUUUGGAACGCUCAUGACGAGACCUCAGGUCAGGCGGGGCUACCCGCUGAGUUUAAGCAUAUCAAUAAGCGGAGGA